rnacentral:tRNA from 1 species
GGUUGUGGUUCGGUGGUAGAGUGCUUGCCUAGCAUGCCUGAGGACCUGGGUUCAAUCCUCAGUACCA